CGGCCUCCCCGUGGGUAGAGACGCCGCCGACCCCUCGCCGCGCCAUGUUCAAGAAGCUGAAGCAGAAGAUCAGCGAGGAGCAGCAGCAGCUGCAGCAGGCGCUAGCCCCUGCUCAGGCUUCCUCCAGCUCUUCAACACCAACAAGGACUAGAAGCAGGACAUCUUCAUUUACAGACCAGCUUGAUGACGCAACACCCAACAGAGAGGUUAGUGCAGCGCUUUGAUGUCGUCUCUCAGGAGCUGAGCUGUGCUGGUUAUGGUGACGUCCAGGGAACAGUGGUGACGAGUCAGUUACUCCAUUUCUGUUUAUUAAUAAUUCAACUGGUAUUUUUCUUUUUUUUUAAACAAAAAUGGCAGUUAGCUGUUGUGAACGUUUCUUGGAGAAAGUUAAAGUGGAUAGGUGUGAAUGCAGUAGUGUUCUGUUCAGUAUAAUAAUGCAGUAACGUUCUGUUCAGUAUAAUAAUGUAGUAACGUUCUGUUUAGUAUAAUAAUGCAGUAACGUUCUGUUCAGUAUAAUAAUGCAGUAACGUUCUGUUGUUCAGUAUAAUAAUGCAGUAGUGUUCUGUUCAGUAUAAUAAUGCAGUAGUGUUCUGUUCAGUAUAAUAAUGCAGUAACGUUCUGUUCAGUAUAAUAAUGCAGUAGUGUUCUGUUCAGUAUAAUAAUGCAGUAACGUUCUGUUUAGUAUAAUAAUGCAGUAACGUUCUGUUCAGUAUAAUAAUGCAGUAACGUUCUGUUCAGUAUAAUAAUGCAGUAACGUUCUGUUUAGUAUAAUAAUGCAGUAACGUUCUGUUCAGUAUAAUAAUGCAGUAACGUUCUGUUGUUCAGUAUAAUAAUGCAGUAGUGUUCUGUUCAGUAUAAUAGUUCAGUAAUGUUCUGUUCAGUAUAGCAUAUAUUGGGAAAGACCCUACAUUUUUAAGCUGGUGGUUAGAAAUUUAAAAAAUAGCAACAAAUUACAUGUAACAAUUGGUGUGAAAAAUUCAUCUUUUUUGUAUUUUUUUCUGUGAUAUACAGUAUAAAUAUAGGAGGUAUGAAGGGGACUGAAGAGAUUGCUCAGCCCAGAGCAUUCGCUGCUUUUGCACAGGACCUAAGUUUGGUGUAGGCUUAAUUUUUUCAAAACCUACUGUAAUUUAGGGUUCUUAAACACUUCAACUCCCUUCUAGCCCACCAACCAGAAAGAAGGUUAAUAGAAAAGGGUGAUUGUAGAACUGUUUAGAAGUAGUUCCUCGUGGCAAGUCUACUCUUUGUUAUCAGGAUAGCAGCAGUCCAGAGUCCUAGUAAACACCAAACACAAGUCAGUAGCGGUGGCUCUGCUGGAUCCAACAGAAACAGCAAGGCUCUGCCAAGUCCGCACAAGGCAGUGAAAAUGGCCAGCCAGAAUCAGCCGGAAUACCACGAGAAGUUCUGUAGUGUGUUUUUUUCUAUGAAGUGAAGACUAACAAAGAAGUGAGACCAGGGAAGACAGCAAAGACCAGCAAAGACCAGCAAAGACCAGUGAAGAUCAGCAAAGACCAGUGAAGACCAGCAAAGACCAGUGAAGACCAGCGAAGACAGCAAAGACCAGCGAAGACCGGCAAAGACCAGUGAAGAUCAGCAAAGACCAGCAAAGACCAGUGAAGACCAGCGAAGACCAGCGAAGACAGCAAAGACCAGUGAAGACCAGCAAAGAUCAGUGAAGAUCAGCGAAGAUCAGUGAAGAUCAGCGAAGACCAGCAAAGACCAGCGAAGACCAGCAAAGACCAGCGAAGACCAGCGAAGACCAGCGAAGAAGCAGCAAUGCAAGAGCAUCCCCUCUCUGUCUGUGGGGUUCUGUUUAUAUUCUUUUUAAACAUCACAGGUCCUCUCACAAUACAGCAUCCAGAAAAACAUCAUGUGUCAUGACUGAGUUGUUAAGGAAACCAAACAUUUCCACUUCAGUUUGGUUCCUAGCACCCCCAUGGGGACACAUACUGUCAUCACUCCAGUUUCAGGGGUUCUGACUCUCCAGGAGGCACUACCAGAGAGUGAUGGCUCUGCUGCGUCUGUAGUUACAGCCAUUUUACAUUUAUGGUUUAUAUUUGUGUGCCACAUGUGUGCCUCGUACCCAUGGAGGCCAAAAGAAGGUAUCAGGUCUCCUGGAACUGGAGUUAAAGAUGAUUGUGAGCCCACCAUAUGGGUGCCAGGAAUUGAACUUGGGUCCUCUGGAAGAACAGCCUAUGCUCUUAGCCUCUGAGACAUCUCUCGCUAUUUCCCUCUACCCCUCUCCUGACCCUACUUAUUUAUUUUUAGUGUCUGCUCGCAUGUACGUAAGUGUAUUGUGUGUGGAAAUUGAGUUUGCUUAUCUGUUGGGAUGGUUGUCUCUUGUGAGCAGCUUUCUCUUGAGGGCUCAGUGCCCAGCAGCACUUCAAAAGGAGAGAAGGGUUUGUUGUUAUAGCAACAACUUGGAAGCAAAACAGAUAUGGAAAUAGAAAAUCAACUAAAGACACCUACUAUACCCUUUGAACCCAGGAUUUCUGAGACCAUCCAGGACAUCAGGGAGACCCUACCUCAAAAACAAACGGAAACAAAUAAAUUGAAGCAUUUCUUUCUCUAAAGAGCAGGAGAGGCAAGUGUGCUAUUUCUUUUUGACUCUUUGCAGUGGGUGCUGGGCAGGACACAUAACAAAGGUGUAGGCUAAAAGAGCAUAAAAUCAUGUCCUCUGCAGACGACUUACAUAUAGAAAAUUGCAAGAAUUCCAGUAAAAAAUCUCAUUCAGUCUAUGCAUGUCUGUCUGCCCGGAGUUUGUGUCCUCUCAGGCCCUUGUGCUCCGAGUAAGAACAACGCCUUCAGUUGGCCCUUCGGCCGUCAGUGUCUGCGUGAGGUGAGAGGGCUCACCGGA
ensembl:lncRNA